GGCUUGAUAGUGGAAUUGGCAAACGCGCUGGAUUUAGGAUCCAGUUCCUUCGGGAGUGCAGGUUCGACUCCUGNUCGAGCU
rnacentral:tRNA from 1 species